rnacentral:misc_RNA from 1 species
ACUUUUGAUCGCACAACAUGAGUGAAUCAAAGAAACAGAAAUUAUUGAACGUAGAUACAUCUGAUGGGACGGAUUCUGCGAAUUCUAAAUUGAAGGACGAGUUCCGAUUUAGUGAGGACCCAUCUCUUGAGAAAAUACGAGAAAUACAAGCUGUGUUCUGUAGGGAGAGGAACUGGGACCAGUUUCAUACACCCAGGAAUGUACUACUGGCCCUGGUCGGAGAGGUUGGGGAGCUAGCAGAAAUCUUACUUCAGUCAGGAGGAGAGAGAUCACGUGGGCCAGGAGAUGAGUGACAUUCUGAUUUACUUAGUGAGGCUGGCAGACAGGUGUCGUAUUGACCUACCCUCCGCCGUGCUGCAAAAAAUAGAACACAACGCACAGAAAUACCCCGUCAAUAAGGCGUACGGUAACAACAAGAAGUAUACGGCGUACGCGGCAGAGGAUGCUGGGAAGGCACUCCCCAAUGGGGACCAGUAAAUGAAUGAGACAACAGAAUUUCUUAGCCAAAGAGCAUACAGCACGUAUGCGUGCAUGUGGCUACAUUUAGUACACAUGGGUUUAACUAUGUGUACAUUUUAUAAAAAAGACUGGCUGUCAACUGGGCCCAGUGUCAUUGAGAGUUCCUCACUGGUGUCUGUGUGGAGAUUAAGAUUUAGGAGCACGGACGGACAGACACUUAGGCACCCAGACACAGCCAUUGUUUAUUACAGGGUCCAAUUUUUCUCUCAGCCAAACUGAUUUAAACGUUGAUUUUGUUUUAAUGUUUGAUGUUGUAAAUAAAGUUUUAUGUUCAAUU